AUACGUAGGUGGCAAGCGUUGUCCGGAAUUAUUGGGCGUAAAGCGCGCGCAGGCGGUCCUUUAAGUCUGAUGUGAAAGCCCACGGCUCAACCGUGGAGGGUCAUUGGAAACUGGGGGACUUGAGUGCAGAAGAGGAAAGUGGAAUUCCAAGUGUAGCGGUGAAUUGCGUAGAGAUUUGGAGGAACACCAGUGGCGAAGGCGACUUUCUGGUCUGUAACUGACGCUGAGGCGCGAAAGCGUGGGGAGCAAACAGGAUUAGAUACCCUGGUAGUCCACGCCGUAAACGAUGAGUGCUAAGUGUUAGGGGGUUUCCGCCCCUUAGUGCUGCAGCUAACGCAUUAAGCACUCCGCCUGGGGAGUACGGUCGCAAGACUGAAACUCAAAGGAAUUGACGGGG
rnacentral:rRNA from 1 species